UACAGAGGUCCCAAGCGUUGUUCGGAUUCAUUGGGCGUAAAGGGUGCUUCGGCGGUCUGUCGCGUCGAAUGUGAAAACCCGAGGCUCAACUUCGGGCCUGCAUUCGAUACGGGCAGACUAGAGUUCGGUAGGGGAGUCUGGAAUUCCUGGUGUAGCGGUGAAAUGCGCAGAUAUCAGGAGGAACACCGGUGGCGAAGGCGGGACUCUGGGCCGAUACUGACGCUGAGGAGCGAAAGCGUGGGGAGCAAACAGG
rnacentral:rRNA from 1 species